UAUGGUGUAUAUACGCAGUGGAGUACUACUGUGCCAUAAAGAUAAACUUGAGCCAUUUGUAGGGAAAUGGACGCACCUUGAAGACUAUAAUGUUUAGCGAAAUAAAACAGAUGCACAUGUUUAAAUACCACAGUUUCUCUUAUAUGAGAAACCUAAAAUAUAAAAAAAAAAAGCAAAAUAAAAGAUAAUAGGUAGUAAGGAGACAGAUCUUUUUCAAAUAGGAAAAGGAUCAAAAGAUGAGGCGGGUGAAAAAGGAAUUAAGAUGCGUUAGGUGCACACACCAACUGCCCCCAAGGGAUGUAAACUGCACACGUGGAGUGAUAAAAAGAAAAAAAUAAUAACCUUGGUGCUGACAGGCCGGGGAGUCAGGGAGUCCAAUCAAGACAGCCAAACCUUGAAGCCAGGCUGGAUCUGAAUCUUAGUCCAUCGCUUACUGUCUUCGUAACCUUGAGCUUGAUAUUACAUGUCUCUGAGCCUCCGUUUUCUCAUCCAUAAAACACGGCUGGAAACCAUAAUACCCUCCAUGCACAGCUGCCGGAAGUACUAGGCAAAAAGGAACUAAAAUGUCUUUUACGGCACUCAGUCCUGAGUGAGAUCCGGCAAAAGGCAGUUGCGACUGUUAUCACCGUGACCUAUCUUGUCUGCUCCGGUUUACUCUUCACCGUGUUCGUGUUACACACUGCAGUCUGAAGAUCAGGCUCUCUGAUAAAGAGAGAAGCCAAACAGCGAGCAGGUCUGCCCGGAGGGGUGAGCGGAGCCUUUCCUUGUUCCUCUGGUUUUGUUUAAAGAGCACCAUUCUUGCACCAGCUGCAUCGGCUCUGUCUGAACUCGAGGCCUGCAGAGUGAGGAAACUGAACCUCAGAGAAAGAGAGUAACCAGCUCAAUGUCACACAGCUUCCCACUGGCACAGGCAAGACCUGAACCCAUGGAUUUCCAUCUCCUAAGCUCAUCUUCUCUGUUCUUUGGGACAUGAGCACUGACCUUGCUACCCAGCACCUUUCCUUGUUGCUAACAGCUCUUACAGGGGCCACUCCUUCCGAUAAACGUAAAUAUAAGUAAUAACUA